CUUAUUUUAUAUAAUGAAAAAAAAACUAUCUGCUCAUUGGCCCGUCUUCCUCCUCCGCCUCCCCGUCUUCCUCCUCCGCCUCCUACACUAUUCCUCUUCCGCCGCUCUCCAUGCCCUAGGCCUAGAGGCUCCAUCCAUGAGAUGUGGUCUCAGUAUUAGGUAGACGACGACGGCGGCCGGUGGCGCUCCCAUUCAUGGCCGGCGAGCAGAAGCUGCAACUUCCGUCGCGCCACGAGGACGGUUGGUUCAUCAUAUGAGGAGGUGUAUGCAUGAUGGUUUGGAGAAAGGAGGUUGCCAUUGGUACUUGAGGCCGUCAAGUUGAGGAAUUACGUUGGAUUGGUGGCACUCCAACUCACAAUCCAAACCCAACUCGAGUUCAUCUCCCCUUAUUCCUGUCCCACCCCACCGAUUAUACAUUUAGGCGAGCGGAGGGGAACCAACUAGGGUUUGAACUGCAUUGCUUAAAGUGGCACCAUCCAGUGAGUUUCUGUUAAACUACAUCUACAUCAAUUGCCCCACUAGCCAAUUUACAUUUUUUGCAGGAAGCUUUACACAUGUCCUCCCAUGCAACCAUUUGUUAGACAACAAAAUUAGUUGAUGAUUCCUAUGUAAUGAAUUUGGACAUUGUAUGUUAUUUCUUCAGAGUAAACACUAAUUGUUAGAUUAUCUGCAUGUUAGUGUGGUAUGUAUAUAUAUAUAAUAAUUCUCUCUUCCGGGAUUAAAAAAAAGCCAAGUUAACAUUUUAAGUUUUACAAAUUUUCCAGAUUUCUCAAAAUGAUUUCUAAUAUUGUGUAUAAUCUAUCUUUGGCAGUUCCAUAGUAAGAUUUUCAAAUUGUCACCCAUGCAAAAAAUUAAGCUAGAUGUAUGGCGUACUUGAGUUAUAUAGGUUCUGUUUACAGCACAUACAUGUACUGUGUUUGAAAAGGGAGCCAAAUCUAUGAUUUUAUUAUCAAACACACAUGAAAUUUUGCUGCAAAUGUAGCCAUGGAAUCCAUAUUUCCUAGGUUCAUUCCAAUAAAUAUGAUAUUUCUUUUGGAGUUCCAGUGUUUUGAUUUUAGAGAUGCUAACUUAUACAAAAAUAUGCUAAUAUAUAUUACCACCUAAGAUAUCAGAGUGCCCUUUUAGUGAUUUGCAUAUUUAAGGCGGGGAGGUAUAUACAUUGAUAAUGAUCCAAAUAUUGUCAGCUAAAUAUGUUUUUGUGAAAUUGACAGAUUUAUGUGUUCUAUUGUGAGCAGCAGAAUGUUUAGUGUACAUGCGUGACACUAUAUCUACUUCAAAUAGUACUGUAGACUAGGAACUGUAGAAAAAAUAUGUGAGAAAACUUAAUCACUACCAUACUAUUUGUAAGUAGGUUGCAAAUAGGACAUAUAAUCCUUAUACGAUCUUAACUACCUCCAAUUUCAGUAUGGUCGCGUCAUUGGUCACAUUGUAACUGUACCUUCUACUACAGGUUUGACUUGAAUUUUGGCUUCUGUACGUAUGGUGUUGGUUCGCCUCUCCAUAGGUUUCUACCUCCCGGAAUUCAUCUUCCUGUUGCCACAUAAUUACAUCAAUUGUUAUUGGAAAAUCAAUGUAUAGAUCCAUUGUUUCCCUCUAUAGUGCACAUGCUCUUAUAUUUGUUUUUGGACUGAUUCUUCCAUCGAUUUCUUGCUAUGUUUGGAUAACUAGAGUAUCUAAUUUGAAAUUAUCCAGUCUUCUGUAUGUUCACUUGCAUAGAUGGCUUAAUCUAGAACCUAAACUGAAGACUCAAUAUAGCACAUAUACUUGGCCAGUUAUCCUAAGAAUAUUAAUCCACCUGGACUUUUAACUUGACUUCCAAAGAAGUUCUUAACUAUCAAGCAUUUUUGAGUUUUUAGUAAACUGAAAUAAUGUUGCACUCUGACAAUACUAUUCUGAUUUUGUAAGUUAAUAGAAAUCCUUCAAUUUCAUACCACUUUUACAUUUGGAUGAUUGCGACAUUAUAUCUUCUCUGAAUUCCGCUUGCAUGUUUCCAGUUGAAACAGUAACUGAGUUUGAUAAGUAACCACUAUAUUAUUUUCUAUGUGUAAUUGGCAUGUACACAUGUUGUCGCUCUGCUUGAGUCAUCCAUCUCCACAUUACGAGCCUGAGACUUCCAUCACAACAAUCUAUAUGUAUCCAGGUAACAUGGAGUCUGCUCAUUUGUAACUGCAUAGGGAUAGGAACAGACUCCAUGUAAUUACAAAUGAGAACAUGGAUUCAGCUUAAGUUUGAGAAAGUGGCGGACAAAAGAGAACUGGACUAUUGUUGCUGAGCGAUAGCUCUGGCCGCAUGAUCAUCUAUGUAUAUAGUUUUUAACAAUAAAUGUAUCCUGAUUGGUAUAGCACAAUUGGAAAUCUUACUUUCUUCUGAUCUCUUAAUUUCAAGAUGAACUGGAGAGGGGAAUUUGUACUAAGUUUGGAAUCUGGCACAGUAAGUGUGUAUUUGCGGUAUUGAUGUAUAGUUAUUAAGAAAGUUACAUUUUUCCA